CUGCCUGGCUUGGGCAGCACAAAUAUUAAACUUGUAAAAAUACAGGGAAUAUUAGUAUGGCCUCUGCCAAGGAUGACCUGCAAAUCCGUGCUCUAUAUCUUU